rnacentral:miRNA from 1 species
CUCCACAAGAGAUUUGUUCUC